UACGGAGGGUCAGUGCGGUAUCCGGAAUCAUUGGGUUUAAAGGGUCCGUAGGCGGGACAUUAAGGCAGGGGUGAAAUGUUGCAGCUCAACUGGAGAAUGGCCUUUGAUACUGGUGUUCUUGAGCUAUGUUGCUGUGGUCGGAACAUGUGGAGUAGCGGUUAAAUGCAUAGAUAUCACAUAGAACGCCGAUUGCGAAGGCAGGUCACAAAGCAUCUACUGACGCCGAGGGACGAAAGCGUGGGGAGCGAACGGG
rnacentral:rRNA from 1 species